rnacentral:lncRNA from 1 species
AGGGCUCUAGCAAGAAGAUGCCAGCAGAGGCUUGAAAAGUGCCUACCCCUGGCCUGGGAUGCUUCCUCCUGGGAUGCUCCCACUUGGAACCCAACUAUUGUGCUGCAGAAGUUUAACUUAACUGUGUAAGGAGGCCAAGAGGAGGCCCUGGCUGCCAGCCAGCAUCAACUUCCAGUGACGUGAGUGUGCCAUUCUGGAACUGGAUCCUGCAGCCUCGGUGGAGCAGCCUCAGCUGAUGCCAUGUGGAACAGAGAUGAACUGCCGCUGCCGAGCUCUGCCCACGUUGCAGAAUCAUGAGCAAAUAUGUUGUGGAUUGGCUGUAACUCUGCUCUGGGAUCCAGGCUGAAGGAGCAGGCUCUAUCUGGAACAUUACUAGUCUCCAGGCAGAAGAAAAAGAGACAAUGGAAUGGAUGAUUGAAUGGAUGAAUGAACUCCACAGGAAGAUGAGGAAAGCCUUUAUGGAUGGAGUGAGCUUGCAGCAGAGUCUCAAAGGGAAGAGUUUGAAUGUUAUCAUUUGGGCAAUGGGAAGCUAUUCCUGGGUCUUCACAAGGGAAUCAGUUGGUGAGAACUGCUGUUUAGAAAGACAGCCCUGGCAGCAACUCAAGCGCUGGGAGAGGACAGAACCACCAGGGAAGAGGGUAUGGGGAAGAA